rnacentral:rRNA from 1 species
AACGAACGCUGGCGGCAUGCCUAACACAUGCAAGUCAAACGAGACCUUCGGGUCUAGUGGCGCACGGGUGCGUAACGCGUGGGAACCUGCCCUUAGGUUCGGAAUAACUCCCCGAAAGGGGUGCUAAUACCGGAUAAUGUCUUCGGACCAAAGAUUUAUCGCCUUUGGAUGGGCCCGCGUUGGAUUAGCUAGUUGGUAGGGUAAAAGCCUACCAAGGCGACGAUCCAUAGCUGGUCUGAGAGGAUGAUCAGCCACACUGGGACUGAGACACGGCCCAGACUCCGAGGGGAGGCAGCAGGGGGGAAUAUUGGAAAAGGGGCGAAAGCCUGAUCAAGAAAGGCCGGGGGAGGGAAGAAGGCCUUAGGGUUGAAAAGCUUUUUUACCCGGGAUGAUAAUGAAAGUACCGGGAAAAAAAACCCCGGCUAACUCCGG